GACGAACGCUGGCGGCGUGCCUAAUACAUGCAAGUAGAACGCUGAAGAGAGGAGCUUGCUCUUCUUGGAUGAGUUGCGAACGGGUGAGUAACGCGUAGGUAACCUGCCUGGUAGCGGGGGAUAACUAUUGGAAACGAUAGCUAAUACCGCAUAAAAUGGAUUAUCGCAUGAUAAUCCAUUGAAAGGUGCAAAUGCAUCACUACCAGAUGGACCUGCGUUGUAUUAGCUAGUUGGUGGGGUAACGGCUCACCAAGGCGACGAUACAUAGCCGACCUGAGAGGGUGAUCGGCCACACUGGGACUGAGACACGGCCCAGACUCCUACGGGAGGCAGCAGUAGGGAAUCCUCGGCAAUGGACGGAAGUCUGACCGAGCAACGCCGCGUGAGUGAAGAAGGUUUUCGGAUCGUAAAGCUCUGUUGUAAGAGAAGAACGAGUGUGAGAGUGGAAAGUUCACACUGUGACGGUAUCUUACCAGAAAGGGACGGCUAACUACGUG
rnacentral:rRNA from 1 species